AAUCAACGCUGGCGGCGUGCCUAACACAUGCAAGUCAAACGCGAAAGGGGCUUCGGCCCUGAGUAGAGUGGCGUCCGGGUGAGUAACGCGUGGGUAAUCUACCCUCGGGUGGGGAAUAACCAAUCGAAAGAUUGGCUAAUACCGCAUAAUGCAGCGGCUCGACAUCGAGACAGUUGUUAAAGCAGCAAUGCGCCAGAGGAGGAGCCUGCGUCUGAUUAGCUGGUUGGCGGGGUAACGGCCCACCAAGGCUACGAUCAGUAGCUGGUCUGAGAGGACGGCCAGCCACAAUGGCACUGAAACACGGGCCAUACCUCCUACGGGAGGCAGCAGUGGGGAAUUUUGCGUCAAUGGGCGGAAAGCCUGACGCAGCCAACGCCGCGUGAAGGAUGAAAUCCUUCGGGAUGUAAACUUCACAAAUAUAGGGAAGAACACAAUGACGGUACCAUAUGUAA
rnacentral:rRNA from 1 species